rnacentral:rRNA from 1 species
UACAGAGGUCUCAAGCGUUUGUUCGGAUUCAUUGGGCGUAAAGGGUGCGUAGGUGGCGCCGUAAGUCGGGUGUGAAAAUUUCGGAGCUUAACUCCGAAACUGCAUUCGAUACUGCGGUGCUUGAGGACUGGAGAGGAGACUGGAAAUUCAUGGUGUAGCAGUGAAAUGCGUAGAGAUCAUGAGGAAGACCAGUGGCGAAGGCGGGUCUCUGGACAGUUCCUGACACUGAGGCACGAAGGCCAGGGGAGCAAACGGG